rnacentral:rRNA from 1 species
UACGGAGGGUGCGAGCGUUGUCCGGAAUCACUGGGCGUAAAGGGCGCGUAGGCGGCGCGGGUAGUCAUCGGUGAAAGUUCAGGGCUCAACUCUGAAUCGGCCGGUGGUACUCCCGUGCUCGAGCACUGUAGAGGCAGGUGGAAUUCCGGGUGUAGCGGUGGGAUGCGUAGAGAUCCGGAAGAACACCGGUGGCGAAGGCGGCCUGCUGGGCAGUAGCUGACGCUGAUGCGCGACAGCGUGGGGAGCAAACAGG